AUGGCGACGGUGAGCUCCGCUGCGCUUCUCUGCAUUUAAGGAUCAUGUUUUCUAUGCUGGUGGUGCAACUGUUCAUCUUCUUAGCGGAAAUCCUCCCGAGGGCACAUCACCAGGUUUUGCCCUGUUCCCAGGUUUUUGAUGUGCGUGUGCCAGUGGGUGCACUGAGUAUACAGCCUUAUUGCCAUGAUGGAGGAUGCCCAGAAUGACCAUUAUAAACAGAAUCUCCAUCCUGUUAUCCCAGUGUAAGAAUGCUUGUUGCAGCAGCCAUGCCCGCUGGAGGACUGUGUCUCUCACCUACAGGUCUUUUCUUACCCAUCAUCCCCUUUGGACUUAAAAUGCUGCAUAGUUAAAGUCCAGAAAGGCUUCAUCGAUCUCGCUUGCCAUCUCAGCAGGGGGUCCUUUGGGCUGGGUCAGAUUCGCAGACAGUUUGGUGAACUC